rnacentral:rRNA from 1 species
UACGUAGGGGGCGAGCGUUGUCCGGAAUUAUUGGGCGUAAAGAGCGUGUAGGCGGUUCGGUAAGUCUGCCGUGAAAACCUGGGGCUCAACCCUGGGCGUGCGGUGGAUACUGCCGGGCUAGAGGGUGGUAGAGGCGAGUGGAAUUCCCGGUGUAGCGGUGAAAUGCGCAGAUAUCAGGAAGAACACCAACGGCGAAGGCAGCUCGCUGGGACGGUACUGACGCUGAGACGCGAAAGCGUGGGGAGCGAACAGG